UGCAAACAUCCAUAGGAAUGCACUGACACCCACCAUGACUAUGUAAACGAUUGUUUACAGGGGCGAAUCACGCCGAAUGCUCCGUAAAAAAUUGAUAGAGAUGGAAUUCACUGCACAAAUAGUUUACAAAAUGUUUAGAUUUAGGCUAUAAAAAUGGAUUUUAUCAAAGAAAACGGCACUUCAUUUGAUCAAUGGGAUACUCAGGAAGAGAAAUAAGAGCAAGAUAUCAGAAUGUUGGAACCAACAUGCAGUAUAUCCAGCAGAAAGAGAGGCAAGAACCAUUGGUCCGCCAGUUCAGGGACAAGCUAAACUAUUCACAGC
ensembl:lncRNA